rnacentral:rRNA from 1 species
AAAAAAGGUAAGCUACUAAGAGCGAAUGGUGGAUGCCUUGACUGGUAAAGGCGAUGAAGGACGUACUAGACUGCGAUAAGCUACGGGGAGCUGUCAAGAAGCUUUGAUCCGUAGAUUUCCGAAUGGGGCAACCCAAUGUAUAGAGAUAUACAUUACCUAUAUAGGAGCGAACGAGGGGAAUUGAAACAUCUUAGUACCCUCAGGAAAAGAAAUCAAUAGAGAUUGCGUCAGUAGCGGCGAGCGAAAGCGCAAGAGGGCAAACCCAGUGCUUGCACUGGGGGUUGUAGGACUGCAAUGUGCAAGAGGUGAGUUUAGCAGAACAUUCUGGAAAGUAUAGCCAUAGAGGGUGAUAGUCCCGUAUGCGAAAAACAAACCUUAGCUAGCAGUAUCCUGAGUAGGGCGGGACACGAGAAAUCCUGUCUGAAGCUGGGUCGACCACGAUCCAACCCUAAAUACUAAUACCAGAUCGAUAGUGCACAAGUACCGUGAGGGAAAGGUGAAAAGAACUGAGGUGAUCAGAGUGAAAUAGAACCUGAAACCAUUUGCUUACAAUCAUUCAGAGCACUAUGUAGCAAUACAGUGUGAUGGACUGCCUUUUGCAUAAUGAGCCUGCGAGUUGUGGUGUCUGGCAAGGUUAAGCAAACGUGAAGCCGUAGCGAAAGCGAGUCUGAAUAGGGCGCUUAGUCAGAUGCUGCAGACCCGAAACGAAGUGAUCUAUCCAUGAGCAAGUUGAAGCUAGUGUAAGAACUAGUGGAGGACUGAACCCAUAGGCGUUGAAAAGCCCCGGGAUGACUUGUGGAUAGGGGUGAAAGGCCAAUCAAACUUCGUGAUAGCUGGUUCUCUCCGAAAUAUAUUUAGGUAUAGCGUUGUGUCGUAAUAUAAGGGGGUAGAGCACUGAAUGGGCUAGGGCAUACACCAAUGUACCAAACCCUAUCAAACUCCGAAUACCUUAUAUGUAAUCACAGCAGUCAGGCGGCGAGUGAUAAAAUCCGUCGUCAAGAGGGAAACAACCCAGACUACCAGCUAAGGUCCCUAAAUCUUACUUAAGUGGAAAACGAUGUGAAGUUACUUAAACAACCAGGAGGUUGGCUUAGAAGCAGCCAUCCUUUAAAGAAAGCGUAAUAGCUCACUGGUCUAGUGAUUUUGCGCGGAAAAUAUAACGGGGCUAAAGUAAGUACCGAAGCUGUAGACUUGAUUUUAUCAAGUGGUAGGAGAGCGUUCUAUUUGCGUCGAAGGUAUACCGGUAAGGAGUGCUGGAGCGAAUAGAAGUGAGCAUGCAGGCAUGAGUAGCGAUAAUUAAUGUGAGAAUCAUUAACGCCGUAAACCCAAGGUUUCCUACGCGAUGCUCGUCAUCGUAGGGUUAGUCGGGUCCUAAGUCGAGUCCGAAAGGGGUAGACGAUGGCAAAUUGGUUAAUAUUCCAAUACCAACAUUAGUGUGCGAUGGAAGGACGCUUAGGGCUAAGGGGGCUAGCGGAUGGAAGUGCUAGUCUAAGGUCGUAGGAGGUUAUACAGGCAAAUCCGUAUAACAAUACUCCGAGAACUGAAAGGCUUUUUGAAGUCUUCGGAUGGAUAGAAGAACCCCUGAUGCCGUCGAGCCAAGAAAAGUUUCUAAGUUUAGCUAAUGUUGCCCGUACCGUAAACCGACACAGGUGGGUGGGAUGAGUAUUCUAAGGCGCGUGGAAGAACUCUCUUUAAGGAACUCUGCAAAAUAGCACCGUAUCUUCGGUAUAAGGUGUGGUUCGCUUCGUAUUAGGAUUUACUCCGAAAGCGAAGAAACUUACAACAAAGAGUCCCUCCCGACUGUUUACCAAAAACACAGCACUCUGCUAACUCGUAAGAGGAUGUAUAGGGUGUGACGCCUGCCCGGUGCUCGAAGGUUAAUUGAUGGGGUUAGCAUUAGCGAAGCUCUUGAUCGAAGCCCGAGUAAACGGCGGCCGUAACUAUAACGGUCCUAAGGUAGCGAAAUUCCUUGUCGGUUAAAUACCGACCUGCAUGAAUGGCGUAACGAGAUGGGAGCUGUCUCAAAGAGGGAUCCAGUGAAAUUGUAGUGGAGGUGAAAAUUCCUCCUACCCGCGGCAAGACGGAAAGACCCCGUGGACCUUUACUACAGCUUGACACUGCUAUUUGGAUAAGAAUGUGCAGGAUAGGUGGGAGGCUUUGAGUAUAUGACGCCAGUUGUAUAUGAGCCAUUGUUGAGAUACCACUCUUUCUUAUUUGGGUAGCUAACCAGCUUGAGUUAUCCUCAAGUGGGACAAUGUCUGGUGGGUAGUUUGACUGGGGCGGUCGCCUCCCAAAUAAUAACGGAGGCUUACAAAGGUUGGCUCAGAACGGUUGGAAAUCGUUCGUAGAGUAUAAAGGUAUAAGCCAGCUUAACUGCAAGACAUACAAGUCAAGCAGAGACGAAAGUCGGUCUUAGUGAUCCGGUGGUUCUGUGUGGAAGGGCCAUCGCUCAAAGGAUAAAAGGUACCCCGGGGAUAACAGGCUGAUCUCCCCCAAGAGCUCACAUCGACGGGGAGGUUUGGCACCUCGAUGUCGGCUCAUCGCAUCCUGGGGCUGGAGCAGGUCCCAAGGGUAUGGCUGUUCGCCAUUUAAAGCGGUACGCGAGCUGGGUUCAGAACGUCGUGAGACAGUUCGGUCCCUAUCUGCCGUGGGCGUAAGAAGAUUGAAGAGAUUUGACCCUAGUACGAGAGGACCGGGUUGAACAAACCACUGGUGUAGCUGUUGUUCUGCCAAGAGCAUCGCAGCGUAGCUAAGUUUGGAAAGGAUAAACGCUGAAAGCAUCUAAGCGUGAAGCCAACUCUAAGAUGAAUCUUCUCUAAGCUCUCUAGAAGACUACUAGUUUGAUAGGCUGGGUGUGUAAUGGAUGAAAGUCCUUUAGCUGACCAGUACUAAUAGAGCGUUUGGCUUAUCUUUAAUAAAGCAU